CCUACGGGAGGCAGCAGUGAGGAAUAUUGGUCAAUGGACGAGAGUCUGAACCAGCCAAGUAGCGUGAAGGAUGACUGCCCUAUGGGUUGUAAACUUCUUUUAUAUGGGAAUAAACUGUUCCACGAGUGGGAUUUUGUAUGUCCCAUAUGAAUAAGGAUCGGCUAACUCCGUGCCAGCAGCCGCGGUAAUACGGAGGAUCCGAGCGUUAUCCGGAGUUAUUGGGUUUAAAGGGAGCGUAGGUGGUUUGUUAAGUGAGUUGUGAAAGUUUGCGGCUCAACCGUAAAAUUGCAGUUGAAACUGGCAGUCUUGAGUACAGUAGAGGUGGGCGGAAUUCGUGGUGUAGCGGUGAAAUGCUUAGAUAUCACGAAGAACUCCGAUUGCGAAGGCAGUUCACUGGACUGCAACUGACACUGAGGCUCGAAAGUGUGGGUAUCAAACAGGAUUAGAUACCCGAGUAGUC
rnacentral:rRNA from 1 species